rnacentral:rRNA from 1 species
CGAACGGCAGCGCGGGGAGCUUGCUCCCUGGCGGCGAGUGGCGGACGGGUGAGUAACGCGUAGGAAUCUACCCAGUAGUGGGGGACAACCCGGGGAAACUCGGGCUAAUACCGCAUACGCCCUACGGGGGAAAGGGGGGGACCUCUUCGGAGGCCUCUCGCUAUUGGAUGAGCCUGCGUCGGAUUAGCUUGUUGGUAGGGUAAUGGCCUACCAAGGCGACGAUCUGUAGCUGGUCUGAGAGGACGAUCAGCCACACUGGGACUGAGACACGGCCCAGACUCCUACGGGAGGCAGCAGUGGGGAAUAUUGGACAAUGGGGGCAACCCUGAUCCAGCAAUGCCGCGUGUGUGAAGAAGGUCUUCGGGUUGUAAAGCACUUUCAGUGGGGAAGAAAAGCUUGAGGUUAAUACCCUCGGGUCUUGACGGUACCUACAGAAGAAGCACCGGCUAACUCCGUGCCAGCAGCCGCGGUAAUACGGAGGGUGCGAGCGUUAAUCGGAAUCACUGGGCGUAAAGCGUGCGUAGGCGGUUCGGUAAGUCAGAUGUGAAAGCCCUGGGCUCAACCUGGGAACUGCAUUUGAUACUGUCGAGCUAGAGUUUGGUAGAGGGAAGUGG